AACGAACGCUGGCGGCAGGCUUAACACAUGCAAGUCGAGCGCCCCGCAAGGGGAGUGGCAGACGGGUGAGUAACGCGUGGGAAUCUACCCAGUUCUACGGAAUAACCCAGGGAAACUUGGACUAAUACCGUAUACGCCCUACGGGGGAAAGAUUUAUCGGAAUUGGAUGAGCCCGCGUUGGAUUAGCUAGUUGGUGGGGUAAUGGCCUACCAAGGCGACGAUCCAUAGCUGGUCUGAGAGGAUGAUCAGCCACAUUGGGACUGAGACACGGCCCAAACUCCUACGGGAGGCAGCAGUGGGGAAUAUUGGACAAUGGGCGCAAGCCUGAUCCAGCCAUGCCGCGUGAGUGAUGAAGGCCUUAGGGUUGUAAAGCUCUUUCACCGGAGAAGAUAAUGACGGUAUCCGGAGAAGAAGCCCCGGCUAACUUCGUGCCAGCCGCCGCGGUAAAAC
rnacentral:rRNA from 1 species